rnacentral:tRNA from 1 species
GCGGAAUUAGUAUAGUGGCAAUACGCUUCCUUCCCAAGGAAGAGCCGCCAGUUCGAUUCUGGUAUUCCGCUCAA